UACGGAGGAUGCAAGCGGUAUCCGGAUCCAUUGGGUUUAAAGGGUGCGUAGGCGGGGCGGUAAGUCAGUGGUGAAAGCCUGCAGCUUAACUGUAGAAUUGCCAUUGAUACUGUCGCUCUUGAAUGCGGUUGAGGCAGGCGGAAUGUGUAAUUUUGCGGUGAAAUGCUUAGAUAUUACACAGAACACCGAUUGCGUAGGCAGCUUGCUAAACCGUGAUUGACGCUGAGGCACGAAAGCGUGGGGAGCAAACAGG
rnacentral:rRNA from 1 species